AGAGUUUGAUCCUGGCUCAGGAUGAACGCUAGCGGCAGGCCUAAUACAUGCAAGUCGAACGGGCUGGAGUAGCAAUACUUCAGUUAGUGGCGCACGGGUGCGUAACGCGUAUGAACCUACCUUUUAUUGGGGGAUAGCCCGAAGAAAUUCGGAUUAAUACCGCAUAAUAUCAUUUGAGGGCAUCUGAGGAUGAUUAAAGCUACGGCGAUAAAAGAUGGGCAUGCGUGUCAUUAGCUAGUUGGUUGAGGUAACGGCUCACCAAGGCGACGAUGACUAGGGGUUCUGAGAGGAUGAUCCCCCACACUGGUACUGAGAUACGGACCAGACUCCUACGGGAGGCAGCAGUAGGGAAUAUUGGGCAAUGGCCGCAAGGCUGACCCAGCCAUGCCGCGUGCAGGAUGAAGGCCUUCUGGGUUGUAAACUGCUUUUACCAGGGAAGAAAAUACCUUUGCGAAGGGAACUGACGGUACCUGGUGAAUAAGCACCGGCUAACUCCGUGCCAGCAGCCGCGGUAAUACGGAGGGUGCAAGCGUUGUCCGGAUUUAUUGGGUUUAAAGGGUGCGUAGGCGGCGUAAUAAGUCCGUGGUGAAAGCCAACAGCUCAACUGUUGAACUGCCAUGGAUACUGUUAGGCUUGAGUACAGACGAGGUAGGCGGAAUGGAUCGUGUAGCGGUGAAAUGCAUAGAUACGAUCCAGAACUCCGAUUGCGAAGGCAGCUUACUAGGCUGUAACUGACGCUGAGGCACGAAAGCGUGGGGAGCGAACAGGAUUAGAUACCCCAGUAGUCC
rnacentral:rRNA from 1 species